rnacentral:rRNA from 1 species
CAAUAGCGUAUAUUAAAUUGUUGCGGUUAGAACGCUCGUAGUCGAAUGUUUGUUCAAGCCCUACGUCCUCCCUAGUGGUGUGUACACAGUUUGGCUUGAGCACCUCUCUGAAACAAGUGUUUGCAGUUAAUUCUGUGGCGCAUUGUUCAGAACUUUUACUUUGAGGAAAUGAGAGUGCUUCAAGCAAAUUUGUGUUAUGAAUACGUUAGCAUGGAAUAAUAGCAUGGGACAUCAUCCUGAAUGUGUUGGUUUUUGGGUAGAUGUAAUGAAGGUGGGAUAGUUGGGGCGAUUCGUAUUUAACUGUUAGAGGUGAAAUUCUUGGAUUUUUUAAAGAUGGACUACUGCGAAAGCAUCUGCCAAAGAUGUUUUUGUCGAUCAAGAACGAAAUGUUAGGGGAUCGAAGACGAUUAGAUAGCC